CGCAGAUACUUUAUUUUUUACUUCUGUGCCUAAAUGCAGUUCGGACGGCAGCGCGGGGGCAACCCUGGCGGCGAGUGGCGAACGGGUGAGUAAUACAUCGGAACGUGUCCUGGAGUGGGGGAUAGCCCGGCGAAAGCCGGAUUAAUACCGCAUACGCUCUGUGGAGGAAAGCGGGGGAUCUUCGGACCUCGCGCUCAAGGGGCGGCCGAUGGCAGAUUAGCUAGUUGGUGGGGUAAAGGCCUACCAAGGCGACGAUCUGUAGCUGGUCUGAGAGGACGACCAGCCACACUGGGACUGAGACACGGCCCAGACUCCUACGGGAGGCAGCAGUGGGGAAUUUUGGACAAUGGGGGCAACCCUGAUCCAGCAAUGCCGCGUGUGUGAAGAAGGCCUUCGGGUUGUAAAGCACUUUUGUCCGGAAAGAAAACCGCUUCUCUAAUACAGGGGCGGGAUGACGGUACCGGAAGAAUAAGCACCGGCUAACUACGUGCCAGCAGCCGCGGUAAUACGUAGGGUGCAAGCGUUAAUCGGAAUUACUGGGCGUAAAGCGUGCGCAGGCGGUUCGCUAAGACCGAUGUGAAAUCCCCGGGCUUAACCUGGGAACUGCAUUGGUGACUGGCGGGCUAGAGUAUGGCAGAGGGGGGUAGAAUUCCACGUGUAGCAGUGAAAUGCGUAGAGAUGUGGAGGAAUACCGAUGGCGAAGGCAGCCCCCUGGGCCAAUACUGACGCUCAUGCACGAAAGCGUGGGGAGCAAACAGGAUUAGAUACCCUGGUAGUCCACGCCCUAAACGAUGUCAACUAGUUGUCGGGUCUUCAUUGACUUGGUAACGAAGCUAACGCGUGAAGUUGACCGCCUGGGGAGUACGGUCGCAAGAUUAAAACUCAAAGGAAUUGACGGGGACCCGCACAAGCGGUGGAUGAUGUGAUUAAUUCGAUGCAACGCGAAAAACCUUACCUACUCUUGACAUGUACGGAACCUUGCUGAGAGGUGAGGGUGCCCGAAAGGGAGCCGUACACAGGUGCUGCAUGGGCUGUCGUCAGCUCGUGUCGUGAGAUGUUGGAUUAAGUCCGCAACCGAGCGCAACCCUGGUCCUAGUUGCUACGCAAGAGCACUCUAGGGAACUGCGGUGACAACCGGAGGAGGUGGGAUGACGUCAGGUCCUCAUGCCCGUUAUGGUAGGCUUCACACGUCCAUACAUGUCCGACGAGGGUGCCAAGUCCGAGGGUGACUAUUCCGAGAGCCGAUCGCCU
rnacentral:rRNA from 1 species